rnacentral:lncRNA from 1 species
CUGACAGUUUCAAACUGCAGUGAGGAAAUAAGGACGGCCCUGUGCAUUGGCCCAGAGCUUGAGCAACCUGCUGCCUGAUUGGCCCGAGGGCCAGGGGCGGGGCUCCGGAUGGUGGCGACCUGGAGAAGCCGGAAUUAAGUUACUCUGGGAGAGCCCCGCCCCCAGCUCGCGCCGGAUUUGAGGGGGCGGGGUCUUAGGGAGCCCCGCCCAGCGUUUGCGAGGCGGUGCUCAGUUCGAUUCUGAGGUGGCUUAGGGGGCAGAUUUUGUUAACGCCUGCGGAGCAGGGCUGAAGUCAGCUAGGGCGGAUCAAGAUGGUAAUGGGAGUGCCUCAAUCUGGAGAGCAAGUAAUGAGACCCUCCGUCUAUUCCUCGGUCUUUGUCACAGCCUCUCAGGCUGGAAUUUGUUUCUCCAGGUUACAGGUGGCUGACGUAGUAAUUUAA